rnacentral:lncRNA from 1 species
GUACGCACAGAGAGGAGAUGUAAAUUCAGCGAAGGUGCUUGACUUCCUUCGUACCACACAAGAGAUCUACCUCUCUGAUCUCAAAUACUCUGGCUCCUGUGUAGAAAGCGGCCCCUCUCUUUCCCUCACUGCAGCGGAGGCUCUGUUCUCGUCUCUCAGGCAGGACGCUGCCCCCUGCUGAGAUCUCUAGGCUGUGUGGACUUAGGGCUGUACUGGUGAAGAAUGAAGGGCAGUUAAAAUCACAGCUGCAAGAAUUCAGACACACAAGCACAUUACAUACAGAUGAGGUUUCAGUAGUCUGCACACUUACUGAGUAUUGGCUGGCAGAGAUUCUGCCCAUGCAGAGACAGCAGAGGACAUGACGCCCCCAGAUUCAGCGCCUGAGAGGAAAAUGACUGAAUAACCAGCAGGUCCCUGAUUGUAAUAUCUCAUUAUGAAAGAGAUCUUCAGUCAUGCUGUUUUAUAGUCAAGGAUUUCAAGAAACUCGGGAUCAAUCAGCUUCAGCAACAAUUCGGAUU